rnacentral:rRNA from 1 species
GAACCGUACAAACGUUAUUCGGAAUCACUGGGCUUAAAGGGUGCGUAGGGCGGCCCGGUAAGUUGGGGUGUGAAAUCCCUCGGGCUCAACCGAGGAAUUGCGCUCAAAACUGCCGGACUCGAGGGAGACAGAGGUGAGCGGAACUUAGGGUGGAGCGGUGAAAUGCGUUGAUAUCCUAGGGAACACCCGUGGCGAAAGCGGCUCACUGGGUCUCUUCUGACGCUGAGGCACGAAAGCUAGGGGAGCGAACGGGAUUAGAUACCCCGGUAGUCCUAGCUGUAAACGAUGAGCACUGGGUCGGAGGAUCCUCCAUAGUUUUCCGGCCGUAGCGAAAGUGUUAAGUGCUCCGCCUGGGGAGUAUGGUCGCAAAGGCUG